CUGCUCCGGGGGGAGGGGGGGGGGGCGGAAACUCGGGCCCCUCGCUUUACUCCUCUAACUAAUUUUAUAAAUGUGCAACUGAAGAAACGCAGGCGUUUCCAUAGCAGGGUUAGCGAGCGUGAGAGCUGGCUGGGAACGCAUCGGGUUUAUUCAGUCUCCCCGUUCCACCCGUGCGGGGCAGUACGCUGCCGGCCCUGCUUCCCCGCGCCGUCCUCGGUGCGAGUCCUGCCGUCACACGCUGCAGCCGAGUCUCUGAUCGUUCCAGACCCACGUCAAUCCCAAGUUCGAAGGUAUGCAAGAUGUCUUCAACUGUUUUUACUCAAAGCAGCUGAGAAGAACUGGAAUUCAAGAUGAGAACCAACAAGGUGUACAAGCUCGUCAUACAUAAGAAGGGUUUUGGAGGCAGUGAUGAUGAACUGGUGGUAAAUCCUAAAGUAUUUCUUCAAAUCAAGUUGGGAGAUGUUGUGGAAAUUGCACAUCCCAAUGAUGAAUACAGUCCCCUGCUUCUACAAGUGAAGUCACUUAAGGAAGAUUUGCAGAAAGAAACUAUAAGUGUGGAUCAGACAGUCGCACAAGUGUUCCGGCUGCGGCCAUACCAGGAUGUCCAUGUGAAUGUUGUUGACCCAAAGGAGGUGACCUUGGACUUGGUGGAGCUGACUUUUAAAGAUCAGUAUAUUGGGCGUGGGGAUAUGUGGCGACUGAAGAAAAGUUUGGUCAGCACAUGUGCAUAUGUCACCCAGAAAGUUGAAUUUGCAGGUAUCAGGGCGCAGGCAGGUGAACUGUGGGUAAAGAGUGAGAAAGUCACUUGUGGAUACAUCAGUGAGGACACUCGGGUAGUCUUCCGCUCCACUUCUGCCAUGGUUUAUAUUUUUAUCCAGAUGAGCUGUGAAAUGUGGGAUUUUGAUAUUUAUGGGGACCUAUACUUUGAGAAAGCUGUGAACGGUUUCCUUGCUGACCUCUUCACAAAAUGGAAGGAGAAGAAUUGCAGCCAUGAAGUGACAGUGGUUCUAUUUUCUAGAACAUUUUAUGAAGCAAAAUCUAUAGAUGAGUUUCCUGAAUCACAUCGUGCGUCAAUUCGGCAGGAUCAUGAGGGAAGAUUUUAUGAAGAUUUUUACAAAGUUGUAGUUCAGAAUGAGAGACGAGAAGAGUGGACCUCAUUGCUUGUGACCAUUAAAAAGCUUUUCAUCCAGUAUCCUGUGUUAGUACGACUAGAGCAAGCAGAGGGCUUCCCUCCAGGUUACAAUUCUACCUCAGCACAAGGGAACUACCUGGAGGCCAUAAAUCUUUCAUUCAAUGUGUUUGACAAGCAUUACAUAAACCGGAACUUUGAUCGGACUGGCCAGAUGUCUGUGGUUAUCACACCAGGUGUGGGUGUAUUUGAAGUUGAUCGACUCCUUAUGAUUCUAACCAAACAGCGGAUGAUAGACAAUGGGAUAGGUGUGGACUUGGUGUGCAUGGGAGAACAACCACUGCAUGCUGUACCACUCUUUAAGCUCCAUAAUCGCUGUGGACCUGGCGACUCCAGAUUGGGUGAUGACUACAAUAUUCCACAUUGGAUAAACCAUAGUUUCUACACAUCCAAAAGCCAGCUCCUGUGUAAUAGUUUCACUCCACGGAUCAAGCUGGCAGGAAGGAAGCCACUGACUGAGAAAGCAAAAAAUAACCGAGAUGCCUCAUUAGGGGCUCCAAAAGAUGCUGAGAAUGCCCUGCCUAUCCAGGUAGAUUAUGAUGGCUAUGAUGCCCAGGUGUUCAGACUGCCAGGCCCAUCCAGAGCCCAGCGCUGUACUACUUUCAGCAGGUCUGUGAGGGAGAGAGAAAGUCGUACCAGAAAGAGCUCUAGUUCCUAUGACGUCUCAUGCAGCCCUUCUCUGCAGAGCCGUACGCUGCCCCCAGAGGAGGUGAGGAGCCAGGCUUCUGAUGACAGCUCACUGGGCAAGAUGUCCAACAUCCUGAUGAUCCCACGGCCUCAUCUGCACCAGUGUGAAGUCAGCAGCUCUUUGGGCUAUACCAGCACCAGAGAUGUCCUUGAGAACAUGCUGGAGUCUCAGCAACGUGACUCCAGUGCCCCUGGGAGGUUCCAUGUUGGCAGUGCAGAAUCCAUGCUGCACAUUCGGCCUGGGGGAUAUACACCCCAGCGAGCACUGAUAAACCCAUUUGCCCCGUCUCGCAUGCCCAUGAAACUUACAUCUAACAGGAGGCGCUGGAUGCACACUUUUCCUGUGGGUCCAUCAGGAGAAGCUAUCCAGAUCCAUCAUCAAACCCGUCAGAAUAUGGCAGAAAUGCAGGGCAAUGGGCAGCAGGAUUUGACGCAUUCCUCUGCUGAGCUGCUGGAACUGGCUUACCACGAGGCAACUGGCAGGCAUAUCAGCUCUCGGCAUCCAGGUGACAGUGCCUCUUUCCUGAGCUUCAGCGGAACAGAAGAGUACUCUAAUGGUCUGGCUGGCAGCAAUGGUGCAGGGAUGAAUCUCAAAACUCAGAACAAGGAUUCCUUGGAAGAUGCUGUCUCUAACUCUCCGGAUCCAAUUCUGACGCUGUCUGCUCCCCCCGUAGUGCCAGGCUUCUGUUGUACAGUUGGAGUGGACUGGAAAUCUCUCACUACUCCGGCAUGUCUCCCUCUUACUACGGACUACUUCCCUGACCGUCAGAGUCUGCAGAAUGAUUACACUGAGGGUUGCUAUGAUCUCCUCCCAGAAGCUGACAUUGACAGGAGAGAUGAGGAAGGAGUGCAGAUGACAGCCCAACAGGUGUUUGAGGAGUUUAUUUGUCAGCGUCUCAUGCAAGGCUAUCAAAUUAUUGUGCAAUCCAAACCACAGAAACCAGCCACAACUGUGCCACCCCCGCUCAGCAGCAGUCCCCUUUACAGUCGAGGUCUUGUAUCAAGAAAUCGACCUGAGGAAGAAGAUCAGUACUGGCUGAGUAUGGGCCGUACUUUCCACAAAGUAACACUAAAAGACAAAAUAAUUACUGUGACUCGAUACCUGCCAAAGUAUCCAUACGAAUCUGCUCAGAUAAACUACACUUACAGCUUGUGCCCGUCACACUCUGACUCUGAAUUUGUCUCUUGCUGGGUAGAAUUUUCCCAUGAGAGACUAGAAGAGUACAAGUGGAAUUACUUGGAUCAGUAUAUCUGCUCUGCUGGUUCUGAGGAUUUCAGCCUUAUUGAGUCACUGAAAUUUUGGAGGACCCGCUUUCUGCUUCUGCCUGCCUGCAUCAGUGCCACAAAGCGCAUUAUGGAAGGAGAAGUGCACUGCGAUGUGUACGGUGACAAGCCCCGUUCUGAUGAGGAGGAGUGGCAGCUCCUAGAUGGAUUCAUUCGCUUUGUGGAGGGUUUGAACCGCAUUCGUCGACGCCAUCGAUCUGAUCGAAUGAUUCGAAAAGGGUCUGCCAUGAAAGGCUUGCAGAUUGCUGGUCCAAUUCCCACCCACUCUCUGGAGCAGUCUGGGCCUCCCAUUGGGAAGAAAGGAACCUCAGCACUCUCAGCUCUGCUGCAGAUGGAAGCCAGUCAGAAGACACUGGGGGAGCAGCAAGCAGCAAUGCUUUCUGGGAAGAGCUCUGGGCAGCCUUCGGAGAGUGGGAGCAUUGCUAUCACACCUACCUAUAUGGACAGCCCUCGUAAGGAUGGGGCCUUCUUUAUGGAUUUUGUUCGCAGCCCACGUACAGCUUCAACCUUCUACUCACAGGUCUCUAUAGAUCAAUCAGUUCCUGCAACCUCCGAUGGCAACACAUUGAUAACCAUGGGGCAGUUACCUGAUAGGAGCAACACACAGACCUUGGGAAGUUCCCAGAAUGUUGCAGACCAAGGAUAUAUCACAGCUGGUGUUGCAGAGGGCAGCUCUCAGCAGUGUUCAGCAAGCACUCUGACUUCCUCCUCCACCUUGAUAGAGAUUCUUGAAGCCAUGAAACACCCCACCACAGGGAUCCAGCUGCUCUCUGAACAGAAGGGCCUCUCUCCAUACUGUUUCAUCAGUGCAGAAGUUGUACACUGGCUGGUGAAUAAUGUGGAAGGUGUGCAAACCCAAGCCAUGGCAAUUGACAUAAUGCAGAAAAUGCUAGAAGAGCAGCUUAUUGUCCAUGCAUCUGGAGAAGCUUUACGAACCUUUAUUUAUGGCUUUUAUUUUUACAAGAUUGUUGUGGACAAAGAACCAGACCGAGUGGGCAUGCAGCAGCCUGCCAUGUGGCACACAGCUGCCAUGGAUGACUUCUCCGCCUUCCAGAGGAAAUGGUUUGAGGUGGCGUUUGUGGCAGAAGAGCUCCUGCACUCGGAAAUCCCAGCAUUUUUCCUGCCCUGGCUUCCCAGCCGCCCAGCCUCCUAUGCAAGUAGGCACAGUUCCUUUAGCCGCAGUUUCGGAGGACGGAGCCAGGCAGCUGCACUAUUAGAUCCAGAGAGACUCUUCACAACCUGUGACAAGCAUGGAGUUGUGAUAAGUUGUGAGAACAGCAAAGCAACCAAACUGUACUUUAAAUGACACAUCUAACUGCUUCUUAGUGGCAAAAGCCACAGUGAGAUCCAGAUGUGUUAGAAGUUUUCUGUGAUGUGAUGGACGUUUCUUGGCUAAUCUGAUCCAGGCAUAGCCAGACUCCUUAUAUUUAAGUCUGGGAAGCACAGCUACAAAUGAUCCCUGCAGUGUGGAAGCAUUAGGGUUUGCAUAUGGAAGAUCUUGCUGCUGGCCAAGAUACCAUUACAAUAACUAAAGUUCUGUAAUGUGUGAAGUAUAACACUGACUGCCACUAACAGCCCGUGAAACAUACUGGCUGCAUGACUGACUGUGUUGCUUUGUCAGCUUUUUGUUGCAUUUCCAGGCCAGCCUGAGUCACUUGCUUUUUUUCUUCUUUCCCUGUUUAAAAUUACGAGAAAAAUCAUUGCUAUGGAACUGCAACUUCAGAUUUACUUAGAUGCAUCUUUUAAAGGCCUAUCAAUUAAGCAUAAAAAGAAAAUUCUGCUGUUCUCCUGUUUUGUAUAUUUGACCUGCUGAAGAAAAGUGACUUACUGCUGGUGUAGUAUCUCUUAAACCUGAAGUUACAGUAAUCCUUGUGUAUUUCUGAAAGCCUUGUUGGAAGAGGAACAGCAUCAGAAAGUGUUAAGGGAUAGGAAGUCUGAACUAGUGGUUAAUUCCCUGAAGCCAACAUAUGCAGGAUGUUUUUCCCUGUCACACGAUAAAUCCAUUGCCUUGGCUAGUAUCCAACCUCAUUAGGUCAAUGAUUGGCCAGAGCUGAUGCCUGAACAUAGGCUGGCAUGAAAGUAUUGUGAUGGCUGGAGGUGCUUGGGCCAGAUCUUGUUCCUGCUUUGAUCUCUUACUCACUGUUUAGCCCAAGAAAACCACUUUACUUUUCUACGUCUUUCCACUUUUGUGAGAUGAGAAGACUGAGACUCCAUAAGCUUGCACCUAGGGAAAUGGGCAAAGAAAGAAGUGUGCUUUAGUGCCCCUCUCGCCUUUUCUUUAAUGCCAGUCAGGAAAGAGUGUAUUUCUUCAGCAUGUGAUGUAGUUACACACCCGUGUAGCCCUCCUUUUUCAUUUCAGUUGGAAUUAUGUCCAUUCUGCUAUUUAACUAAUUAGCAGUCCUUGGAUGAAUGAAAAAUGCCUCCAGAUUCCUCACAUGCGGUCUGCUUAUUCCAGGAAUAAUAGUUUCUUAGAGAAAAAUCCAGUGUGGAACCUUUUUCUUACAAAGGAACUGGUUUAAUUGAUGUUUCUGUGCUGUCCCUCUUCUAAACAGUAUUCCAAAAAAAACUUUAGCAGUUCAUCUGAGGCAAGGAGCUUUACUAAACCCAGAUGACCUCUGGUCCACGUGACUUCAUUUGUUCCUCUCUUGGCUUUGAUUUGGUUGUGGUUUUUAUUUCUUCCUCUCCCCACCUUCCCUAAAUGUCAGGCUGUGACAUAAAAUUGCAUGCAAGCAUUGGGAGCUCUGGAACAAGCUCCACGUAUCUCUAAAAUCUUUAUCCCUCCGAAUACCCCUAUCACUUGCCCAGUGAUUGUCCCCUUUCCCUUCCCAGUGGAAGUCUGACCUGUGAUAUACCUAAUCGUGUCCCUUUUGAUUUAUAGCAAUGCAUGCACUAGCAAUUGUAGCGUAGUCUGUGACUGGAGAAUAACCUGCCUGCUCCUCUCCGAUUUACUCAAUAAAUCAUUAGUUAAAUACUCAUUGGUACAAGACAAUUGGGAAGCAGCUGCUACAGUGCCUGAGCAACGGACAGUGACGCUUGAUGUGGAUGUGAAUAACCGCACUGACCGUUUGGAGU